rnacentral:lncRNA from 1 species
AACAAGCCACACACAACAGUGUCUCUUUGGGGCUUCAUACUUAAAUGUUAUUUUUUUUCCCCCUAGAGUAACAGGAGAAGAAUAGGCAGUGACAACUGAUGGAAGAGGAAUUUGAGCAUCUGGAACAGGAGACAGGGAAAUAAAUUGCUUUAAUUCAGCCAGGGAUGUGAAGAGCUGCUCUUCAUCAUGGAAGAAGUAGACGUUUAGCAUUUUUUGUGAAGCUGCUGCUGGACACCUUCCACCCUGACCUGGCAGCGCUCAGAUUGCUGCUCCUGAAAUACAGAGAGGAAUAAAAUCUGAUGCUCUGGGGGAUGUUCCCCUGGGCAUCAUGCUAAGCUCUAGCAGGAUCAGACUGUUGCAUUGAUGCAAGUGAUGGGAAAAGGCACGGUGAUGUAUUUUAAAUCACUUUCCGGAAGAGCGUAUUGACAGGUCCUUAAUAAAUGCUAAGUAAAU